GGAUGGAAGCUAUGGUGUUUGAUGAAAUGUUCCAACGAAAUUGGAAUCUAUUCCCUCGAAUUUGUACUUUACUUUGGAGUUUGGAGACUAAACCAAAAAAAGAAAAUCUCACCCAGUUUCAGACUAUAACGAUUAACCAAUGCCUUCAUAGCUAGCCCCGAACACUGACAGAAUUACGUUCAAUUUGAGUUUAAUUUGCAGAGGACAAGGAGGCUUGGUACAUAUGCAGUAUUAGAGUGAGUGGGUUAUGGUUAUCCCAAUUUAUAGCGGUAAGAUCUCUAACUCCCCUUAAUUGAGUUUUAGUUUACUUAAAUUGACCAAUGAAUCUCAAUUUUCUUAUUUAGCUAUGCAAUUUUAACAUCUUGGCUGACUAAGGCUACAAAUAUAAAGUAAGAGUAUGAGUGAGAGAAAAGAAUAAGAGUUCAAUUUGUUCUUUGAAAUUAUAAGCGUGUUUUGUUUUAAUUUCUAAAGUUUAACCAGUAUUAAUUUAGUCUUUGAAAUUAUUUUUAUAUACUAUUUUGAUCCUUAAAAUGACUUGUAAAAUUUAACUUCAAAAAUUAAAAUAAUUGACAAAGCAUAAUUUCAAGCACAAGUUAGGUGAAGGAGGUUAUGGCUCUGUCUACAAAGGAAAACUCCAAAGCAAACGCUAUGUUGCUGUGAAGUUGUUGUGCAAAUUCUCUAAGCCAAAUCAACAACAGUUCAUCAAUGAAGUUGCCACCACUGGAAAGAACUAAGCUCGCUCUGCUUUAUGAGUACAUGCCUAAUGGUUCUCUUGACAAGUACAUACUUAAGCAAGAACAAGGGAAUGCUUCAAUAAGCUAUGAGAAAAUUCAUAUAUAACAUUGCUAUUGGCGUGGCCUUCAAUGAAAGAAGUAAGAAAGAUGCUUGAAGGAGAAGCUAUUGUUCAUCAGACUCUAGAUUUCAUUUAAACUUGAUUUGUAGAACUUAUAAAAUUUUAAAGUCAAUUCGAAGCAUCAGCAUAAUAUGUCAUAUAAAAAUAACAACUAUAUUAGGUGUAAAUAUAAUGUUUGAGAUACACAUCACCUAAUUCAUCAGAUUUUUCUAGCAAAGUCUGAGUAAUCAGGUCGUAUUAAAAAUUGUGGAAAUGUGAGGUGAUAUGUGUGCUGUGUGAUUUGCAUUAUUAUGGAAAUUAAUUAGUAAAAUGAAGGA